UACAGAGGUCUCAAGCGUUGUUCGGAUUCAUUGGGCGUAAAGGGCGCGCAGGCGGUCACGCACGUCCGUUGUGAAAUCGCUCGGCUCAACUGGGCGGGGUCAGCGGAUACGGCGUGACUGGAGCAAGCUAGGGGGCAAUGGAAUUCCCGGUGUAGUGGUGGAAUGCGUAGAUAUCGGGAGGAACACCAGUGGCGAAGGCGGUUGCCUGGAGCUUUGCUGACGCUGAGGCGCGAAAGCGUGGGGAGCGAUCCGG
rnacentral:rRNA from 1 species